AGCGAACGCUGGCGGCGUGCUUAACACAUGCAAGUCGAGUGCGUAGCCCUUUGUAGCAAUACAGAGGGUGGGCGCACGGCGCACGGGUGAGUAACACGUGGGUAACCUGCCCUUCGGUGGGGAAUAACCCCGCGAAAGCGGGGCGUAAUUCCGCAUAACAUUCCGGGGACACAUGUUCUCGGACUCAAAGGAGUGAUUCGCCGGAGGAGGGGCCCGCGCCCGAUUAGCUUGUUGGUAGGGUAACGGCCUACCAAGGCUUUGAUCGGUAGCCGGUCUGAGAGGAUGGCCGGCCACACUGGAACUGAGACACGGUCCAGACUCCUACGGGAGGCAGCAGUGGGGAAUCUUGCGCAAUGGGCGAAAGCCUGACGCAGCGACGCCGCGGUGGGGAUGAA
rnacentral:rRNA from 1 species